UGCAUAUCAUUUAAUUUACCUGUUUAGCAGGUUAAGGCGAGUCUUUGUGAAGGACUUGCAAAAUUCCCAUAUUUACAGUGGCUGGAUUGUUGGAAUCUACAAUCAUUGGAAAAGAAAUCUUUAUUUAGAAAGAAAAUACUUUUUACAUUCUUUAACCAAAAAUUUGAAUCUUUGUUUAAAAAAGAUUUUAGACAGCACUGAAUUCAUACCUUUGGGUGGAUAGAUGAAUGAGCACUUGUUUGGUUUUUUUUUUAUCAUAAACCCUCUUUUUGAUUCUUUUGAUUGGAAGACGUAAAUGUCCUGCUGCAUAGUCGGCUCUACAUCUUUCCCAUGCAGAUGUGAUGUACGUUUGCUCUUUUCGCAGAUCAGAAGAUCGAAAGUGAUGGAGUUCAGGACCUUCUAGUCUUGUGCACGGUUCGUCAACACAUCAAGGAGCUCAAUAUCUUCUCUAUUUUUGACCACCAAAUGCCCACACCAGCCAACAUGAAAUCUGCUAUUCUUUCUAAAUGUGCCUGAAACAGCAGUGAGUUCUUCUGUAUGAAUUCCUCUUUAAAUAUUGAGUUGAUGCGUUUACCCAAAAGCUUUGCCUGAUGACUGAUGACAGAGUCUUGUUUCUUAAUGGGAGAUGCGUCUUAGAUCACCGAAACUUCUUUCCUUUUGUUCAGGGAUGAUGGAUCUUAAACAAAAAAGCCGGUAUGUUUCAGGGAGAUGACCAGUUGUGCUGUGAAAGUGAGUUCGGAAAAAUUUCUUGAGAUCUUGCUGAUGGUAUUGAUAUCCUGCUUUUUCCAAGUUUCAUCUUUGAUCUCCUCACUUUAUGCCAUGAUGUUUAGCAAAGCUCAUUAGUAUUUGACCGGAGUUCUUGGGCUGCUUGCCUUGAUAAGUGAUAUUGUAUUUACCAGCUAACCUGGUCCAGUUAACCGGCUUUUCUGCUGGGUAUUGAUUGAGUUCUGAUAAAAAAGCAUCCUUGUCAAAUUCAUAAUUUUCAAAUCUCCCAUGAUGGACUUUAGGUUUUAGUUUUCUUGAUUAUACCCGCACUUUCUAAAGAAAGUCCGGGUAUAUUGUUGUUACUCUGUUCCGUCCGUCCGUCCGUCCGUCCGUCUGUCACGUUUUACUUUCUCAAACUGCUCUUACAUCUUAUAAACCAGCAAACUGAACUCUUGGAGUUUGAUUUGGGGUAUCAUGUUGUUUUGUAAAAAGGUUCCAAAAAUACUCUGUUAGUCCUGGGGGUCAAAUAAUUGGUAAAAAAUGACGCUUUUUCACAAAAAACCUUCUUCCUUGAACUCCUCCUACAUUUUCAAAAGUAGACAAAUCAUCUUUUGGAAUAUGUUUUAGGGUAUCCUAUAGAUGCGCAAUAAGGUUUCGGAAUUUUCAAUUUUGCCCUUGGGGUCAUUUAAUGGCUAAAAAAUGACGGGUUUUUUUGUUGUUUUUUUUUUACAAAAAACUGGUUUUUAAAACGUCAUUUUUUUGGCAGUAGCCAAAUGAUCUUCUAGAAUAUGAUUGGGGGUGUCAUAUUGAGGCGUGAUCAGGUUCCAGAAUUUUUUUUUAUAUAGGGGAUCAGUGGGCAACAAAAAAUGACGUUUUUUGGCAAAAAAAAUAUGGUUCCCAGAACUCCUCUUACAACUUUUGGAGUAGCUACGUUAUCUCUUGGGAUUUAAUAUGGGCUGUCCUAUAGAUGUGAAAUAAGGUUUUAAAAAUUUAAAUUUCAUCCAAGGAGUCAAAUAGUAGCAGAAAAUUGACGUUUAUCACUAAAAAAACAAAGAUUGAUCCAAGAGCUCCUCUUAUGAUUAAAUGGAUAGACAAUCAUAUCUUGGAAUAUGAUAGGGACUGUUCUAUAGAUGUGCAGUUAGGUUUUCAAAAUUUAAAUUUCAUCCAGGGAGUCAAAAAGUAGCAGAAAAUUGAAGUUUAUCACUUCAUAAAAACAUAGAUCCAAGAACUCCUUUUAUGAUUUAAUGGAUAGACACAUCAUAUCUUGGGAUAUGAUAGGAACUGUUCCAUAGAUGUGCAUUACGGUUUUGAAAAAUUAAAUUUAACCCUGAGGCCCAUUACCUACCGGUACAUACCUUUUGAUGCCCUUUAAGGAUCAAGAAUAUAUAUGGUUAAGGGGUGGGGAUCUCAACCGUUUUCGAGAUAUUCGUGCACUUCCUGUUCAAGGGGGGUCAUGACCACCCCCGGGGCCCAUGACCUACAUACCGUUUGAUGCCCCUUGACACAAGGAACAAGAAUAUAUAUAGUUUAAGGGUGGGGAUCUCAACUGUUUUGAAGAUAUUAAGGGACUUGCUGUUUGACGGGGUCAGGACCACCCACAGGGCCCAUGACCUACAUAACAUUUGAUGCCCCUUGACAUCAGAAACAUGAAUAUAUAUGGUUUAGGGGUCAUGAUUAUAACAGUUUCUGAGAUAUAUGGUAAUUUCAAAUUCCUGGGGGUGGGGAUGUCCCCAGGGGUCAGAUCUAAUAAACCCUAUAUAUUGCCAGUAACAGCCAAUAUAUGAUUAUGAAAACCCUAUAUUUUUAUCUUUGUCCGUUUUCAAGUUACCAUUUCCAAUAGAGUCUACGAUUCUUCCUACAAGGUUCAAUGUUAGACCCCACACCCUUUUGACACCCCCUCCCCCCUCCCCCGAAAAGUGGUUGUCUAACCCAAAAUGAGAAAAAUCAAACCAGGGUGCACAACUAGAUAUGCAGGCCUAUCAUAUCCUAGAGUUUUGUACAAUUCUGUUCAGCCAUCUCUGAGAAACAAGUUCAGAGCAGGAAAGAAUUUUUAAGAAAAAGAAGAUGAAGAAUAAUAAUACAUGUAUUAAGAACCGUACAACAACAAUAAGUCUCCAAAUUUCAUUCGGGAGACUUAAUAAUAAAGAUUAAAUAGAGAUAGGAUCAUCAAACAUCAAUAAUUUAAAGUUAAUUGACAAUUUCUGAUUCUAAGGGGGUCAGGAUGACCCCUUAGGGUCAUGACUUACAUGCCAUAAUGAUCUGAUGCGCCUGCAUGUCCUAAGGAGGAAUAAUAUCUUUGGAUUAAGGUGGGGAUCUCAAUAAUUUUUAUGAUAUUUAAUAAUUUCAGGAAGAGCACUUGGGAUCAUGACCUACAUACCAUCUUAAAUGCCUUGAAGGAAGAAACAAUAAUAUAAUAUGUACAUGAUAUAUGAUUCAAUUUAAGAACCCAGAUAUAGAUCAAUCAUCUUUUUUGUAAUACUUCCUAUGUAUAUAUACAUGUACAUGUAUUAGUUUGUGUUUUGUUCUAUACUAUUCAUGUUCAUGACUGUAGUAUGGCUUAGUCUUAUUUUAAAUUACAUUAAAAAAUUGUCAAAUAUAUGACUUGGAACCCCCACUCCCAAACAAACUCAAAUAUAAACUGUUCUCCCCCCCCCCCCUCCCUUGUCGAAUGAUCUAUUAAAAUCAAAAUAUAAUUUGGGUGUCUAAAAACUUUUAUAAACUGGUAAAAAAUGUUAUUCUUAAAAAAAAUUAUAUUACAUUUUGCAUAAUUGACAAAUGAUCUAUUGAGAUUUGAUCAGAGGUCAUAUUUCUACCUUGGGAUCAAUAAGUAGUAUUCAUUGACAAGUUAAAAUUAAUAACAAUAAAUGAUUCAAAUUAUAAAAGUUUAUACUCCACAUCCCCCCCCCCCAAAUCUAACCUGGCUAUAAAGAUUCAGUCUUCUUAAUACAUUCUUACAUGAGUACAGUAGCAAAUUUUAAAUCAUUUCUUGAUUGCUUUUUCUCUCGUGAUUCACAUUAACAUUUUGGAAAUUGCUGAAUUCAAUUUUUAAGAUUUAUAAACAAAAUGUUAUAUGCAUCACUUCCAUGUGUAUUCGCCUAUUUGGGACAAUUGUAAAGUCUCCUAAACAAAGCAGUGACAUUAUUAGGCUAGGAUUUACCCACAUGGAUCAAACACUACUGUAUAACAUAUGAAUAAGAUAAAAUACAUUAUUAUUUCUAGUUCUAAAAUGUCAGGGUGUCUCCAAGGGGGCAUAAUCUAGAUACAAUUUUACGCGCAAUGACACAAAGAGGAAAAAUAAAUUACAUGGUCUAGGUAUGAGGAUCUCAGAUCUCAGAAGUUAACAAAAUAUACAGUUUAUCAUAUCAUUUCCUAUUUCAUAAAGGCGGGGCGGGGGGGUUAAAGACAACA